GCGAGUGCAACGUGAAACUCAUUGGAAAUCCGACAGGGGUAAGUACCUUUUACAUCUUCCCAAAAGGACUUCAGGAUCUUCUAAUCCACGCAAGGGAGAAGUACAACGAUCCUCUAAUUUACAUUACAGAGAAUGACAUGGGUGAUGCCAAUAACGUGAC